rnacentral:rRNA from 1 species
ACUCAAAGGAAUUGACGGGGGCCCGCACAAGCGGCGGAGCAUGUUGCUUAAUUCGACGCAACGCGAAGAACCUUACCAAGGCUUGACAUCACCGGAAAUCUGGUGGAGACAUCAGGUCCUUUUUGGGUCGGUGACAGGUGGUGCAUGGCUGUCGUCAGCUCGUGUCGUGAGAUGUUGGGUUAAGUCCCGCAACGAGCGCAACCCUUGUUCCAUGUUGCCAGCACGUAAUGGUGGGGACUCAUGGGAGACCGCCGGGGUCAACUCGGAGGAAGGUGGGGAUGACGUCAAGUCAUCAUGCCCCUUAUGUCUUGGGCUGCAAACAUGCUACAAUGGCCGGUACAGAGGGUUGCGAGACCGUGAGGUGGAGCGAAUCCCUAAAAGCCGGUCUCAGUUCGGAUCGAAGUCUGCAACUCGACUUCGUGAAGUCGGAGUCGCUAGUAAUCGCAGAUCAGCAAUGCUGCGGUGAAUACGUUCCCGGGCCUUGUACACACCGCCCGU